GAUGAAGAACGUAGCGAAAUGCGAUAAGUAAUGCGAAUUGCAGAACUCUGUGAAUCAUCGAAUCUUUGAACGCACAUUGCGCCCGCCAGUACUCUGGCGGGCAUGCCUGUCCGAGCGUCAUUUCAACCCCUCGGGCCCCCCCACCCUCUCUCGGGAGGGGGGGAGCCCGGUGUUGGGGUUCAGGCUGCCCUGCUCGCUCGGCGCCUGUCCCCUAAAUGCAGUGGCGGCCUCGCCGUCGCCUCCCUCCGCGCAGUAAGCACAAGAACCUUCGCGGCUUGGGAAGGCGGCGCGGCCACGCCGUAAAACGAAACCCUCGACCCCCCCGCAAGGGCGGGAAGGGGGACUCUUCUCCAAAGGUUGACCUCGGAUCAGGUAGGGAUACCCGCUGAACUUAAGCAUAUCAAUAAGCGGAGGA
rnacentral:misc_RNA from 1 species